rnacentral:rRNA from 1 species
CAGCAGCCGCGGUAAUACGAAGGGUGCAAGCGUUAAUCGGAAUUACUGGGCGUAAAGCGUGCGUAGGCGGUUUGUUAAGUCUGCUGUGAAAUCCCCGGGCUCAACCUGGGAAUGGCAGUGGAUACUGGCAAGCUAGAGUGUGUCAGAGGAUGGUGGAAUUCCCGGUGUAGCGGUGAAAUGCGUAGAGAUCGGGAGGAACAUCAGUGGCGAAGACGGCCAUCUGGGACAUCACUGACGCUGAGGCACGAAAGCGUGGGGAGCAAACAGGAUUAGAUACCCCAGUAGUCCCUGUCUCUAUACC